ensembl:snRNA U2 U2 spliceosomal RNA
ACUGCUUCUUCGCCUUUUGGCUAAAAUCAAGUAUAGUAUCUGUUCUUACCAGUUUAAGUACUUUUUGUGCUUCUCAUGGCUAUAAGCCAUAAUUGCUGUUAUAACGGUAAGGAUUUUUC